AUGAAUAGUGCGAAGUGCACUGAAGUACACGUAUUUGCAGCGCUGUGAUUGUGGAGGAGGGAUAACUCAGACUCCUUAGGAAAUUUCUGGGCGAAAGUGAAAUAGCAAACAAUUACAAUGGAAGUGGAUGGGAAUACCGCAGCAUAGAAGUGAAUAAUUUGGCUCUUGGUAAGAUGAUGAGUUCAAGUUCAAUUUAUCCAUGGAUAACCAACACCACUCUUCUGGCAAGUGUUGAUGGUUGCACAGAUACAUCGACAUGGACGGAGCUAUUCAUAACGAACUUUGAACCUCACCCUUGGAUAACUAUAAACUUAGGAGGACUGGCUAUCAUA